rnacentral:rRNA from 1 species
GACGAACGCUGGCGGCGUGCUUAACACAUGCAAGUCACGGGGGUUCGGGGGCAACUUCGGAUAACCGGCGAACGGGUGCGUAACACGUGAGCAACCUGCCUUUGUGAGGGGGAUAGCCGGGCUAACGCCCGGGUAAUACCGCAUACGAUUCUCGGGAGGAGUCUCCUGGGAAGGAAACCGGUGGGGCAACCCAUGGGGCACAGAGAGGGGCUCGCGGCCUAUCAGCUUGUUGGCGGGGUAAUGGCCCACCAAGGCGACGACGGGUAGCUGGUCUGAGAGGAUGGCCAGCCACAUUGGGACUGAGAGACGGCCCAGACUCCUACGGGAGGCAGCAGUGGGGAAUCUUGCGCAAUGCGCGAAAGCGUGACGCAGCAACGCC